rnacentral:rRNA from 1 species
CUACGGGACGCAGCAGUAAGGAAUAUUGGGCAAUGGACGCAAGUCUGACCCAGCCAUGCCGCGUGAAGGAUGAAGGUCCUCUGGAUUGUAAACUUCUUUUAUCUGGGGCGAAAAACACCUUUUCUAAGGUGCUUGACAGUACCAGAGGAAUAAGCACCGGCUAACUCCGUGCCAGCAGCCGCGGUAAUACGGAGGGUGCAAGCGUUAUCCGGAUUCACUGGGUUUAAAGGGUGCGUAGGCGGGCAGGUAAGUCAGUGGUGAAAUCCCCGAGCUUAACUCGGGAACUGCCGUUGAUACUAUCUGUCUUGAAUACCGUGGAGGUGAGCGGAAUAUGUCAUGUAGCGGUGAAAUGCUUAGAUAUGACAUAGAACACCAAUUGCGAAGGCAGCUCGCUACACGGUCAUUGACGCUGAGGCACGAAAGCGUGGGGAUCAAACAGGAUUAGAUACCCCGGUAGUC